GGGUCGGUUCGGCCGGAUUUUACACAAGUGUUGCAUGGCUGUCGUCAGCUCGUGUCGUGAGAUGUUGGGUUAAGUCCCGCAACGAGCGCAACCCUCAUCCUUAGUUGCUAUCAGGUAAUGCUGAGUACUUUAAGGAAACUGCCAGUGAUAAGCUGGAGGAAGGUGGGGAUGAUGUCAAGUCAUCAUGGCCUUUAUGGAGUGGGCUACACACGUGCUACAAUGGUGUCUACAAUGGGYUGCAAGGUGCGCAAGCCUAAGCUAAUCCCUAAAAGACAUCUCAGUUCGGAUUGUACUCUGCAACUCGAGUACAUGAAGUUGGAAUCGCUAGUAAUCGUGGAUCAGCAUGCCACGGUGAAUACGUUCUCGGGUCUUGUACACACUGCCCGUCACGCCAUGG
rnacentral:rRNA from 1 species